AUUGAACGCUGGCGGCAUGCCUUACACAUGCAAGUCGAACGGCAGCACGGGAGCUUGCUCCUGGUGGCGAGUGGCGAACGGGUGAGUAAUACAUCGGAACGUACCCUGAAGUGGGGGAUAACGUAGCGAAAGUUACGCUAAUACCGCAUAUUCUGUGAGCAGGAAAGCAGGGGAUCGCAAGACCUUGCGCUCUGGGAGCGGCCGAUGUCGGAUUAGCUAGUUGGUGGGGUAAAGGCCUACCAAGGCGACGAUCCGUAGCGGGUCUGAGAGGAUGAUCCGCCACACUGGGACUGAGACACGGCCCAGACUCCUACGGGAGGCAGCAGUGGGGAAUUUUGGACAAUGGGCGAAAGCCUGAUCCAGCCAUGCCGCGUGAGUGAAGAAGGCCU
rnacentral:rRNA from 1 species